GCCGUAAAGGCCGUCUGUGUGUGCGUGCGCGCUGUUUCCCGGGUGCUGGCCGCGGCUGUGAGGGACCUGGCCGUGCCGCGCGGCCCUCACGUCACGAUGGUGAAGCUGAGCAAAGAGGCCAAGCAGAGGCUGCAGCAGCUCUUCAAGGGCGGCCAGUUCGCCAUCCGCUGGGGCUUUAUCCCUCUCGUCAUUUACCUGGGGUUUUAAAGGGGUCCAGAUCCUGGAAUGCCUGAACCAACAGAGCCUACUUUGGGGAUAAAGGACUAUUUGGUCAUCUGGACUUGGAAGCAAUCCUGAACAGAAACACUAUGGAAGGUGUGUGCUCUGGAUGGGAUAAGACAUGGGACAUCGUUCAGGUGGCCAGUCUUCAUUUGGAUGGCACAGGGCUCUUCUCAGAUGCAUCUGUGAUGGAGUAGAACCUCUUCUGACUUAUUUAUCAUACAUAGACUAUCAAAAUAAAUAUUUUCAACAAUGUUA